rnacentral:lncRNA from 1 species
ACCACAGGGGACCGCAAAACUAGCAGACAUUUUCUCCUGGACCUUUGGCCUCAAAAUUUGUAGAAUCCAAUCCCGGAACCAGCAAGGCAACUUUGGGAUUGCCUACUAUUGAGCCUACCAAUUAGGAUGCCUUAAUGUUGAUUGCGAAGAUCCUCAAUUUCCUCAUCUCCAGGCUGAUAACGCUCGCCCAGAUCAUGUCAUGUCCAAUCAAGCAUGCAACGUUUUUUCAUCUCAAAAGGGAGACAGCGGGCAAGGGACAAUUUUCACUACGGACUCGACUGCUAAUCUUACUACGGACUCGACUGAUGAUCCGUUAUCGAACCUGCC